rnacentral:sRNA from 2 species
UCGCGUAAAGCGCCGAAGGCAGGAGCGGGGGAACCAAGGUAGGCGCCGGGAACGACCGUUGAGAGACGGUCACGUACCGGCUAGGGGUUAAGUCACACACCACGUGUGGCCGGGCACUCACUCGCCCGAACCCGACAGCUCACCUCGUAGGCGUCGGUGAGGAGAACU